rnacentral:rRNA from 1 species
UGGGGCUGAAGUAGGUCCCAAGGGUAUGGCUGUUCGCCAUUUAAAGUGGUACGCGAGCUGGGUUUAGAACGUCGUGAGACAGUUCGGUCCCUAUCUGCCGUGGGCGCUGGAGAACUGAGGGGGCUGCUCCUAGUACGAGAGGACCGGAGUGGACGCAUCACUGGUGUUCGGGUUGUCAUGCCAAUGGCACUGCCCGGUAGCUAAAUGCGGAAGAGAUAAGUGCUGAAAGCAUCUAAGCACGAAACUUGCCCCGAGAUGAGUUCUCCCUGAGACUAUAAGUCUCCUGAAGGAACGUUGAAGACGACGACGUUGAUAGGCCGGGUGUGUAAGCGCAGCGAUGCGUUGAGCUAACCGGUACUAAUGAACCGUGAGGCUUAACCUUACAACGCCGAAGCUGUU